rnacentral:rRNA from 1 species
AGAGUUUGAUCCUGGCUCAGAGCGAACGCUGGCGGCAGGCCUAACACAUGCAAGUCGAACGAGCCCUCGGGCUAGUGGCGGACGGGUGAGUAACACGUGGGAACGUACCUUUAGGUUCGGAAUAACGCAGAGAAAUUUGCGCUAAUACCGAAUGUGCCCUUCGGGGGAAAGAUUUAUCGCCUUUAGAGCGGCCCGCGUUAGAUUAGCUAGUUGGUGAGGUAAAGGCUCACCAAGGCUACGAUCUAUAGCUGGUCUGAGAGGAUGAUCAGCCACAUUGGGACUGAGACACGGCCCAAACUCCUACGGGAGGCAGCAGUGGGGAAUCUUGCGCAAUGGUCGAAAGACUGACGCAGCCAUGCCGCGUGAAUGAUGAAGGUCUUAGGAUUGUAAAAUUCUUUCAGCAGGGACGAUAAUGACGGUACCUGCAGAAGAAGCCCCGGCUAACUUCGUGCCAGCAGCCGCGGUAAUACGAAGGGGGCUAGCGUUGCUCGGAAUUACUGGGCGUAAAGGGAGCGUAGGCGGGUUAUCAAGUUGGAGGUGAAAGCCCAGGGCUCAACCUUGGAAUUGCCUUCAAAACUGAUAGCCUAGAGUAUGAUAGAGGUAAGUGGAACUCCGAGUGUAGAGGUGAAAUUCGUAGAUAUUCGGAAGAACACCAGUGGCGAAGGCGACUUACUGGAUCAUGACUGACGCUGAGGCUCGAAAGCGUGGGGAGCAAACAGGAUUAGAUACCCUGGUAGUCCACGCUGUAAACGAUGAUUGCUAGUUGUCAGCCGGCAUGCCGGUUGGUGACGCAGCUAACGCAUUAAGCAAUCCGCCUGGGGAGUACGGUCGCAAGAUUAAAACUCAAAUGAAUUGACGG